rnacentral:tRNA from 2 species
GCGCCUGUAGCUCAGUCGGAUAGAGCACUCGCCUUCUAAGCGAGUUGUCGCAGGUUCGAUUCCUGCCAGGCGCAC